GAUGAACGCUGGCGGCGUGCCUAACACAUGCAAGUCGAGCGAUCUUCUUCGGAAGAGAGCGGCGGACGGGUGAGUAACGCGUGGGUAACCUGCCCUAUACACACGGAUAACAUACCGAAAGGUAUGCUAAUACGGGAUAACAUGUUUUGAUCGCAUGGUCGAAAUAUCAAAGCUCCGGCGGUAUAGGAUGGACCCGCGUCUGAUUAGCUAGUUGGUAAGGUAAUGGCUUACCAAGGCGACGAUCAGUAGCCGACCUGAGAGGGUGAUCGGCCACAUUGGAACUGAGACACGGUCCAAACUCCUACGGGAGGCAGCAGUGGGGAAUAUUGCACAAUGGGCGAAAGCCUGAUGCAGCAACGCCGCGUGAGCGAUGAAGGCCUUCGGGUCGUAAAGCUCUGUCCUCAAGGAAGAUAAUGACGGUACUUGAGGAGGAAGCCCCGGCUAACUACGUG
rnacentral:rRNA from 1 species